UACAGAGGUCCCAAGCGUUGUUCGGAUUCACUGGGCGUAAAGGGUGCGCAGGUGGGUUGGCAAGUUCGAUGUGAAAGCCCCGGGCUUAACCCGGGAAUGGCAUUGGAUACUGCUGAUCUGGAGGAUCGGAGGGGGGGGGACUGGAAUUCUUGGUGUAGCAGUGAAAUGCGUAGAUAUCAAGAGGAACACCAGUGGCGAAGGCGACGUCCCUGGACGAUACCUGACACUGAGCACGAAGCCAGGAGCAAACAGG
rnacentral:rRNA from 1 species